rnacentral:rRNA from 1 species
UACGUAGGGUGCGAGCGUUAAUCGGAAUUACUGGGCGUAAAGCGUGCGCAGGCGGUUCGUUAAGUUCGUUGUGAAAGCCCCGGGCUCAACCUGGGAACUGCAAUGGAAACUGGCGGGCUUGAGUGCGGCAAAGGGGGGUGGAAUUCCGCGUGUAGCAGUGAAAUGCGUAGAGAUGCGGAGGAACACCGAUGGCGAAGGCAGCCCCCUGGGCCGACACUGACGCUCAGGCACGAAAGCGUGGGGAGCAAACGGG